rnacentral:lncRNA from 1 species
CACAAAUCAGUUCUUACUUUUCCAUGUAAAUGAAAAAUAUUGUCAUUUAACUUUUUUUUAUAUUUCAAAGAUUAUUUUCUUUUAAAUUUGUAAUUAUAAACACUUUGCUUAAAUUUAUUAAAUUACAGUAAAGAAUUAGAUAAGCAAUGAUUAGGACAUUUCUUGCCAGCUUCCCACAGUAAAAUUAUUUGAUUUUGAGGUAAAGAUUGCAUAGGAUUGACUUGAUAUCUAAAUCUUCUAAGACUUAUCACUAUCUUUUUUGCUACACAAAAUAUAGUGCAUUGAUCAUAACAUUCUAAACAUCCUAUUCAUGAACAUUUCAAGAAAUUUAUUGAUGUAAUAUAUGCUUAGAUAUUCAAGACACUUAAGGAUGUUACACUUGUCAAGAAAAUUACAGAACUUUUGCAAGGUGCAGUAAUCUAUAUAGCUAAUAUCUGUUAAAGCCAUCUUAAAAUAUAGGAGUUAUCUUCCUUUGUCUAGAAUUGCCGUUAAAUCAACUACAACCAAUGCAAUCAUUUAAUUUUACUUCCCACUGAUAAAUUGAAGCAAUUUUUACCGUUUAAUAUGUUUAUUGCUUCUGUAAAGGUUGUGUACAAGGAUAGACGAGCAAUUAUGUGAGAUUAAUUUCUUAUUAAAAAGUUCAAUUUAAAAUCGGACACAAAUCCAUCACAUGAUGUGAGCCAAAGUUAUUUUUUUCUUCUAAAAACAGUCUUUAUUUUCAAAAUAAGAAUCCACCCUUUACCCCUAGUUUAAGAUCUCCCAAUAUAAUGUUCUGAUAAGGAUUUCAAAGGGAUUAUUUGUCAUCUAAAUCUAAAAAAUAGGAUGAAAAUGGUAAUUCACUCCAUUUAUUGAAACCUUUAUGGUUUAAUAGUGCAAUAGAUUUGUAGGCUGAUUAUUGUUAAUCUGUAGUGUAUUUCCUAGUUAAAAUAUACAUCUUUUGUUUUGCCUGAUAAAACGAGGUCACUAAGUUUUAAAAUGUUUAUUUUGUUUUCUAGUCAGAAGCAAAAAAUCAGAAAGUGUUAUUUUAAUAUAGUCAUUACAUAAUCAUUAUUGUAAAUUUUUAACUUGUAUGAAAAGGUCUGUUGUUUUAGUUAAAUUAAUGAAUACACACAAAUCAAUGACAUUUUCCACACAAACCAAUGACAUUUCCACACAAAUCAAUGACAUUUUCAACACAAAUCAAUGACAUUUCCACACAAAUCAAUGACAUUUUCCACACAAAUCAAUGACAUUUCCACACAAAUCAAUGACAUUUUCCUCACAUUUAUGACAUUCUCCACACAAUAAUAACCUUUUUCACACUAAGAAUUAUUUAUUUUUCGUAAAACAUUGUUACAAGACAAUGAUAGAAAAAAAACAAAGAUUUCUACAAAAAUUUUUAAAAAUAUAGCAGGCCUAAAUAACUCAGCAAUGUCUUUCUUUUGUUUAUAGCAUAAUUAAGGAGUUUUGCUCACAAUGGCGGUUGUCAUAGUAUUAGUGACAUUUUGUACAUUUAUUUCAAUAUACAAUGUGAUAUAUAUGUGUUGUGUAAUGGUUAAGUUGACAGAUUAAAAUCUGUUUAUUGUUUGUUCAAAUGUUUUUUUUUUAAUUUGUCCUUUCAGUAUCUUCAAAAGUUAUUUCCCUUGCAAGAAAUUGCAAGAGUUAUUUCCCAUGGAGGUAACCGGAGAUGUCUCCCAUUGGAGCAAGUACAACUAGUUCAAUCUUCAACGUUUUUGUUGGUUUCUAGACUUAAGAAUUGAAAUGGGUAACAUAUGUUUUUCAGUUGCCUCCCUUUUAUCAAACAUAACUGAUCAAUCUUUCAUGACUUUCAAAAAGGGAGGCUAAAAUUGCAAAUUCAAGUAACACAUGAUAAAAUAAAUUGAUUAUUUUGUUUUUGUUUUAAAAAAAGUUGGUUUUACAAAUUCAGGUCAAUUCUCAAGACAUAGAUUAAUGGUUUAUACAAUCAGGCUUAUCAAAUCCCUAUGCAAGAUGUGAUCUCUAAAAUAAAAGAUGUUUUUUUUUCACUUUUUUUUAUUAGUUUAUUUCAUAUACAUGUAAGAGCUUGCGUAGAAGAUGGUGGUGUGAUUGCUAGCUGCUAGUAUUUCUUUUUUCUCUUUUAUUUUUAUAGAAGACAAAGACACAAUGACUGUUAGUCACACUAUUUUGCCUUCUUAUGGAUGUACUCAGGUGAUCUAAGGUAAUAUUAAAUAAAUCAGGAAUCAAAAUUGAUACUUCCAAGCUGGAAGAUUAUUGGUUAAGAAUCAAAAUUAGCGAAGCUGGAAGAUUAUUGGUUAAGAAUCAAAAUUAGCGAAAAAUAUUGAAAGGUCAUGGAGCUCCCUUUCGAGAUAUUUGAUUUAUAUCUGCAUUGGUAUUAUUUGGUUCUCAAAUUAAUAGAAAGAAAAUCAAGAAUCUGCUUAAAUUUUGUCAAAUAAUCUUUUAUGAGCUAUGAAGUCUUUUGUUAAAAGAUAAUACUAGUAGGUGUUAUAGGGCAAAAUAUUUUACCUUGUAUUGAAUGGAAAAACACCAAGGAGUCCGAACAUUUGACACUUAUUCCAAAACCUCACAUAAGUACAUCCUUAAAAGAAAUGAUUUUCCUCACUAACUGCUUCUGGACUUGGUCCUGGUGCUUGAGACAUUUUUCAGAAGAGAGCUUGGUUAUUAUGAUUAGAAAAAUCUAUGUUCUUUUUAAUGAACAACUUAAUUUCAGGGGAAAUAUUUGCAAAAUUAUAGAUCUUCAUGGAAGCCCAAUUGAUUGGCUGUUAUUCUAUAUAGGGGAUUAUUUUCUCGGUUGUGAAAUUUCACAAUUUUCAUUGAAUUAGGUUUACGAAAUAUUUUGGCAGUUAUUAUUUUUGUUGGUUCAAAAUUUUUAUCAAUACCUUUGAAUGAACACUUAAUUUGGCUGAAUUAUUUUGGCGAUUUUAUUCUAUCUGCGAAAAGGAAGAGGUUCACUUACGGCACAAACUGGCCUAAAAUAUAAACUUUAUCAUAAAACACCUCAAAUGUCUCAAUUUGGUUUGUAAAUGGGUCUAUUUUCAAAGUUUAAAUGCUAAAUAUAUGAGUUCUUUUUAUAUAAGAGUACAUAAUAUUCUCCAAAGUAAGCCCAUUUUUGACAUUUUGUCAAAAUAUGAUGAUUUUGUGCAUUUUUCUAACCUAAAGCUUUAGAAACACCUUGGCCGCCACAUACUAUCCAAAAUACAUUGUAACCAAAAGAUUCCAAUUUUCAUAUAGAUUUCAUCAAUUUAAAAAUUUUUUGGAUCAUAGAUGGCGGCCAAGGUUAAUUAUGCCAAAAACAAUUAAGAUUAGGGAAAAAGAGUACCAAAAUUGACCUUUUCGUACAAUUUAUGUUUAUUUAAGGGGUCAUAGAUCCAUAAAAUGUAAAGGAAAGUGCCAGAAAAAAAUUAUUUUGUCUUGAUAGUACUAUUAUAAGUAUUUCUUUGUGAAAUUUGUAUUUUUUUGGCUUGAUUUAAAAAAUAUAAAUAAUUCAGGGCCAAUUUUAACCCUUCGUGAACCCUCAGCUUUACACUCUGCAAAAAUAACACGCCAUACAGUAGUUCAAGCCUGGACAGGAAAUUUUAAAUUAGACUUCUCUAGGCACUUUUAAAUGGAGGAGGUUGAAAUGUCAUACAAUUCAUCAAACCUCUGACUGAUUUGACUUGGAAACCCAAGAUCAAUUGUGUGUGCAAUAUUUAUGUUCUAUAUAUAGAUAUAAGAAGAUAUCUUUACAUAUAUGUAUGCUUUCCCUUAAAAAGGAGCAUUGUCUUUAAUGUUUACUAUAAGCAGACACCAAGUCACACAAACUAUAUAUAUAAACUAUUUUGUUUUCCAUACAAAUUAUGUAGUUCUAAAUAUAGAGGUCUUAUAUGUCUAACAGUCCCUUUAAAUGGAAGAUCUCAUUUAUAUGUGAUAAUUUAAUUCAAUUCCAAGUGUAUGAUCCAAAAAUUUAACUCUUUGAAUUGAUAAAUUUAUGAAUAACAUUUAUUUUUCUUAAAAUUAUAAAUCUUAUUUUGCUAUUGUUUAAUAAAAAAAUUUAAAUGCUUGAUUCAAGAAUUAUUUUUAAACAUGGAUUUAUUUAAUUUUUCUUACUUUUUCAUAUUGUCCCAAAAAUAGCAAGAGAAAUGGGAAAAUCAACUUUAUUUGCUUAUGCUGUAUUUGCUCCCUCAUGUCUUUGUUUAUUUGUUGUCUUUUUGCUAGUAUCUAAUAAAAUAAGUAACAAUUUAUAAGUUUAAAAAAUAUUGGUAUGAAAAAAUUAUCAGAAUAAUUGUUUCGUCAAUCAAAAUUAGAAAAGGAAAAAUAGAUUUAAUUUACUUUAAUUGUUUUACUGCCUCUGUGACAUUUGCAUUAAUCUAUUUUUUUUUUAUCGUUAAACAAUUUAAAAAAAAAAUUGAAAACGUGUUUCAGUGUGUGGAUGAGGUUUACAGAAUAUUUGGCAAAAAGUGCACAAAAAACGCAAAAAAAUACACAGGGAAAAAGUAAAAGAAUAGAGAAUAAUAGAAUGCUUAAAUAUGCAGAAUAGAGAAUAAUAGGGUGCAAAAGUAUAAAGAGUAGAGAAAAUGGCUAAAAAGAUAAAUAAUAGAGAAAAAUCGCUGUUAAAUUGCAGAAUACAGAAAUGAAAGACCCCCAUCCAUUCCCUUAUAAUUUGCUCAUUUAAAAUGGGAAAAUAUACCAUAAAAGUAUUAUAAUAAAACUUAUCUUAUAUGUAUAUUAAUGUUGUACUUGUUAAUUGAUAAAUGUACUAAGCUUAAGUUAAUCUUAUAUUUUAUUUGUUGUUGUAAUUUUUUUUCUUUAUUAUAGUGUUAUUUUUCUCAUUGUCAAUGUUAUGAAUUUUUUUAUUAGAUUGGAGAUGUUAAUUUUAGGGAAUAGAUUCGGAGGGUUAUUUGUUAAGAAAAAAAAUGUGCCAAUUAAAAGAUGUUUUUAUUUUUAGUACUGAAUUCAAAAUAGUGUAUAGAAUGCUGGCCACUUUUUACAUAUUUAUCUGUGAUUACUGAAAAAAAUAUACUUUCAAUAAAAAAAGCUCUUAUUGAUUCUAACAUUAGUUCAGUAAAAUUAAAAGAAAUAUUUGUUAAUAUGGGCAAUAACUUUGAAAACUUUAUAAUGUGGUCGAAUUUGUCAAUGCUUUCCUACAAGUAUCAAACAAUUGCUACUUUCUACUGUGGUUAAUAAUACAUAAGCCAAUGACAUUUCCACACAAAUCAAUGACAUUUUCAACACAAAUCAAUGACAUUUCCACACAAAUCAAUGACAUUUUCAAUACAAAUCAAUGAUAUUUUCAAUACAAAUCAAUGAUAUUUCCACACAAAUCAAUGACAUUUUCUGUGUACAGACUUUUAAAGUUGUGUAUCAUUACAACAAAAUCAGAGGAUCCUGGAAGGUCUUUUAAGGUGGUACCUAACACUACAGGGAGAUAACUCUGUAAAAUCAGCUAAACGUUUUAAUUACGUUGUGUUGUUAAGGGAAUAUUAAGCUUCUCAAUGAUCAAAAUAAGUGUUUGACAAACUGCUAUAUAACCAGUGUAAUUUUUCUGAUAAAACGGUUGGUGAGAAUUUUUUGAAUUUUUUAUAUUUUUGUAAAAGGGUCAAAGUAAAUACUUUGUCAAAAUUUUAAGAAAAUUAAACGUGCCAAAUUAAUUUUAGUUAAAGUGUUGGGUACCACCUUAAACAGAAAGUAAAACGGUGCUUGUCAUAUCCUUGUAAGCGGAGCCUAAGCAAAGGAUCUGUAUUUCAGAAUAUUUUAAGUACUUGUGAUCUGAUUAGCAUUUGUUUUGUUGGCAUGUUGGCUGCUGCAUCCUCAUCUUUAAGAUCUUUAAAAUCAUAACUUUUUUUAACAAUAUUUUUAUUUUGUUAUAAACACUGACUUAGCAACACACUUUGAUAUGUUGCUGGCUUAUCAUAAUUGUUAUCUUUUAACAUUUUGAAACCAUCUUGGUUAUUUUCGACCAAUUUAUAAUUUAACAGGCUAAAAGUAUGUUUUACACUGUUUUAAUUCUGAAAUUUGAAUCAAUCAGUGUAUUGUUCUGUAUUCCAAUAAAUACCUUCCUAUAUGGAGUACUAUCAUUUAAUUGGGAAUAAAAUGGAACUCUUUGUGAGAUACUUAUUAUUAAAGAUUAAAAGCACAUGCAUUUUUAACAGACACCAAAUUCAUCCAAACAUGCGAUCUGUGUAAGCUAUUGUUUAAUGUAGAUCUUAUUAAAAGCAUCAUUGUUUAAAGUGCUGUGUGUAAUUUUUUAAUCAUUUAUACAAAAAUAAAUUUGCUUUGUGU